UACGGAGGAUCCGAGCGUUAUCCGGAUUUAUCGGGUUUAAAGGGUGCGCAGGCGGGAGAUUAAGUCAGCGGUGAAAUUUUGCAGCUCAACUGUAAAAGUGCCUUCGAAACUGGUUUCCUUGAGUGUAGAUGAAGUAGGCGGAAUUUGUGGUGUAGCGGUGAAAUGCAUAGAUAUCACGAGGAACUCCGAUUGCGCAGGCAGCUUACUAAACUACUACUGACGCUCAGGCACGAAGGCGUGGGGAUCAAACAGGAUUAGAUACCCU
rnacentral:rRNA from 1 species